rnacentral:rRNA from 1 species
UACGUAGGGGGCAAGCGUUGUCCGGAUUUACUGGGCGUAAAGGGCGCGUAGGCGGCCUUCUAAGUCGAACGUGAAAUCCCUGGGCUCAACCCAGGAACUGCGUCCGAUACUGGGAGGCUUGAGUCCGGGAGAGGGAUGUGGAAUUCCAGGUGUAGCGGUGAAAUGCGUAGAUAUCUGGAGGAACACCGGUGGCGAAGGCGGCAUCCUGGACCGGUAUUGACGCUGAUGCGCGAAAGCCAGGGGAGCAAACGGG